rnacentral:rRNA from 1 species
UACGGGGGGGGGCAAGCGUUGUUCGGAAUUACUGGGCGUAAAGGGCUCGUAGGCGGCCAACUAAGUCGGACGUGAAAUCCCUCGGCUCAACCGAGGAACUGCAUCCGAUACUGGGGGGCUUGAAUCCGGGAGAGGGAUGUGGAAUUCCAGGUGUAGCGGUGAAAUGCGUAGAUAUCAGGAGGAACACCGGUGGCGAAGGCGGGUCUCUGGGCCGAUACUGACGCUGAGGAGCGAAAGCGUGGGGAGCGAACAGG